rnacentral:rRNA from 1 species
GCUUUACACAUGCAAGUCGAACGAAGUAGCAAUACUUAGUGGCAGACGGGUGAGUAACAUGUGGGUAUCUGCCCUUUGGCCUGGAAUAACACGAGGAAACUUGUGCUAAUACCGGAUAAGUCUUUACGGAGAAAGCUUUAUGCACCAUUGGAUGAGCCCGCACUUGAUUAGUUUGUUGGUGGGGUAAUGGCCUACCAAGACUGUGAUCAAUAGCUGAUUUGAGAGGAUGAUCAGCCACAUUGGGACUGAGACACGGCCCAAACUCCUACGGGAGGCAGCAGUGGGGAAUCUUGCACAAUGGAGGAAACUCUGAUGCAGCGAUGCCGCGUGAGUGAAGAAGGCCUUUGGGUUGUAAAGCUCUUUCGUCGGGGAAGAAAAUGACUGUACCCGAAUAAGAAGGUCCGGCUAACUUCGUGCCAGCAGCCGCGGUAAUACGAAGGGACCUAGCGUAGUUCGGAAUUACUGGGCUUAAAGAGUUCGUAGGUGGUUGAAAAAGUUAGUGGUGAAAUCCCAGAGCUUAACUCUGGAACUGCCAUUAAAACUUUUCAGCUAGAGUAUGAUAGAGGAAAGCAGAAUUUCUAGUGUACAGGUGAAAUUCGUAGAUAUUAGAAAGAAUACCAAUUGCGAAGGCAGCUUUCUGGAUCAUUACUGACACUGAGGAACGAAAGCAUGGGUAGCGAAGAGGAUUAGAUACCCUCGUAGUCCAUGCCGUAAACGAUGUGUGUUAGACGUUGGAAAUUUAUUUUCAGUGUCGCAGCGAUAAGCGAU